CCUACGGGGGGCAGCAGUGGGGAAUAUUGCGCAAUGGGCGAAAGCCUGACGCAGCGACGCCGCGUGAGGGAUGAAGGUCUUCGGAUCGUAAACCUCUGUCAGCAGGGAAGAACGGUCACUGUGCUAAUCAGCAGUGAAUUGACGGUACCUGCAAAGGAAGCACCGGCUAACUCCGUGCCAGCAGCCGCGGUAAUACGGAGGGUGCGAGCGUUAAUCGGAAUUACUGGGCGUAAAGCGCUCGUAGGCGGUAUGUCAAGUCAAGGGUGAAAUCCCCGCGCUCAACGUGGGAACUGCCUUUGAAACUGGCAAACUGGAGUGUGGGAGAGGAUAGUGGAAUUCCAGGUGUAGGAGUGAAAGCCGUAGAUAUCUGGAGGAACAUCAGUGGCGAAGGCGACUAUCUGGCACAUAACUGACGCUGAGGAGCGAAAGCGUGGGUAGCAAACAGGAUUAGAUACCCCAGUAGUC
rnacentral:rRNA from 1 species